ACAGCAGCCGCCGCGGUAAAACGUAGGGUGCGAGCGUUAAUCGGAAUUACUGGGCGUAAAGCGUGCGCAGGCGGUUGUGUAAGACAGGUGUGAAAUCCCCGGGCUUAACCUGGGAACUGCGCUUGUGACUGCACAGCUAGAGUAUGGCAGAGGGGGGUGGAAUUCCACGCGUAGCAGUGAAAUGCGUAGAGAUGUGGAGGAACAUCAGUGGCGAAGGCGGCCAUCUGGAUCAACACUGACGCUGAAGCACGAAAGCGUGGGGAGCAAACAGGAUUAGAUACCCCCGUAGUACCUGUCUCUUAUAC
rnacentral:rRNA from 1 species